GUCUGCUGAACCCGAGGACCGAGCGGCCGGUUAAGUAGGACGGACGCGUUGGACUGUACCAACGCAGAGGGGAGUCCCUGAGAAGACGCACGAGAGACACGACAGCAGAGGAAUCAGCGGGGAGAGGAAGCGCUCCCAGUAAUUAGCCCGACACCAGGAAGUCAGGAGCAGAAUGCGCUGAAUAUGAAAACGAAUCAUCUGACUGAUGAUUCACAUCUACUGACUGCAUUGUGAGCUACAACUCAUUGUGUUGGUCUUUCCUGCGUGUCAUCGUUUGUUUUAAAUGGAUCAGACCUUCUAUUAAACGCCCGUGAGGUCACGUGCAGCUUUCCUAUUGUUGAUUUGGACUCUAGGUGGAGCAAUCAGCUCCUAAUUGCCUGUUAAACUCCACAGAGCGGUGACAUAGUGUACAGUACACACACACACACACACACACACACACACACACACACACAAACACACACACACACACGCACACACACACACACACAAACACACACACACGCACACACGCACCUAUUUAAUCUGCUCUUCAUCCCUUUCUAACAUGAAGUGAGAGUUUUCAUACUCAGCCCAGGAUUCGUGCUGCCACUUAAUAGCUGCAUCCAUCAAGGAGCGUCAACACUGGAGCGUGUUUCCAUUCAGUCGCUGGCUCUUCCCAACUGUAGCACGCCCGCUGAGGCGACGCCGAGCGCAUCCCUCGCGCGCCGUCGCUCCCCUCUCUCUAAUACCCUCCCCCUCCCCCUCCUCCUCCUCCUCCUCCUCCAUCUCUCCCCCCUCUCCCCUCCCUCACUCUCAGUGUCUUGCUCGGAGCAGUUCGUUCAGCAGAGCAGUAUAACAGCGUGGGGUGCGCGCGCGCGCGUGUGUGUGUGUGUGUGUGUUUGCCGUGGCACGCCUGCCUCCAAAGUAGUGAUCGCAGUCGCAGCGCGGAGGGACCGACGGGCAGAGAGCAAGGGGGGAGAGAGAGAGAGCGAGAGGCGUCCAGAAGCAGCAGUGAGCGGACAGAGAGAGAGAGAGAGGAACGCUCCUGACCACCACAGAGGGAUGCUGACGGUCCAACAGGUCCUCCCCACGAUUUGUCUGCACCUUGGCUACAGACAACCCACGCUGCUGUAACAGGUACGCUCGGUUUCACCAGCUGUUUCUACCAAUUACAAUAAUGGGAUUGUUAAAAUUGUUAUCAAGGUGUUAAAGUAUCCAAAAGAGGGUGUGAGAUACAAUAGUUUCUGACGAGAAUGUAUGUUCCAUUGAACAUGGAGUGAAUUAGAAGCACUGGUCUGCACCGAAUGAAGCCAAGUACAGGUGUAGAAGAGGAACUAACUUUGUUCUCUGGAAAAUACAGCUGCUCUACUUCUGGGUCUCUACAGUCCUAUUUUCUAACUUUGCGUUUUAUAGUUAAGGCCUAUGAAUUGUUAAGGGGCUUUAUCAGCCUGAGGACAUUUCUAUCCCACAAAAAUCCUUCAAUACAAGAAAUUGAAAAUCCCUUUUGCAUAUUGUUACUAUACCAUUCAUUGGUAAAACUAAAGAGAAG
rnacentral:lncRNA from 1 species